UGGGAUUAAACGUGUACACCCUGCCUAGU
rnacentral:piRNA from 1 species